UACAGGGGGUGCAAGCGUUAAUCGGAAUUACUGGGCGUAAAGGGUGCGUAGGUGGUUUAGUAAGAUAUCUGUGAAAUCCCCGGGCUUAACCUGGGCGGGUCAGAUAUAACUGCUGAACUCGAGUAUAGGAGAGGGUAGUGGAAUUUCCGGUGUAGCGGUGAAAUGCGUAGAGAUCGGAAGGAACACCAGUGGCGAAGGCGGCUACCUGGCCAAAUACUGACACUGAGGCACGAAAGCGUGGGGAGCAAACAGG
rnacentral:rRNA from 1 species